UACGAAGGGGGCUAGCGUUGUUCGGAAUUACUGGGCGUAAAGCGCGCGCAGGCGGCUUUUCAAGUCAGGGGUGAAAGCCCGGAGCUCAACUCCGGAACUGCCUUUGAAACUGUGAAGCUUGAGUACGGGAGAGGUGAGUGGAAUUCCCAGUGUAGAGGUGAAAUUCGUAGAUAUUGGGAAGAACACCGGUGGCGAAGGCGGCUCACUGGCCCGUUACUGACGCUCAGGCGCGACAGCGUGGGGAUCAAACAGG
rnacentral:rRNA from 1 species